rnacentral:lncRNA from 1 species
UAUGUGCUCUGCUCUGCCUUCCCCGACCCCGGCCUCAAGCUCACCGCCUCUGCAUCACCCUCUCCGCCGGCUUCUUCCUCCUCAGACGCCGACGACUUCGUCCUUGAAUUCGACUCUGACAACCCGUCCUCGCGCUCACUUUGCUCAUCUGCAGGCGCACUGUGAGCAUAUCUUCCUCUCCCCUCUCUUCUACCUCGUGCUCGCCCCAUAGACGCCGUCUACAUCGGAGUUGAAGUUCGCCGGUGCCCCGCCUCCCCUGCCGCCCCGACCACACCCAUCUACGCAUGUCGCGCAGCCCCGUGCCUGCUGCUGCCAACGUGCCCUCGCGGCUGCUCGCCCGCCGGCGCCAGUCCGCUCACGCCAUGGCCGCCUUCGACCUAUGUGCUCCCCUGCAUCCCGCACACAGCCUGGCCGCACACCUAUAGCCACCCGUUCGACCGCGUGCGGCAGCCCUGCUGCACGCGCCUGUAGCCGUCGCUGCCGUGGCCCCUAUUGCUCCUGCCGCUGUUGUUUGACACUGAAUCCUACUGCUUCCUUCUUCAGUUAAGCUAGGUGUUGAUUUAUUCAGUUUCAUCAGUAUAAGCAUGCACCACCAGGAGUGUGUUCUCGUACAUGCACAGUCUUUGUUUUGUGCAUGUAGUAGCUAGUACCGCGGUCUUCGCUCGUGUGGGAUAGUGUGGCCAUUAGCUCAAACAUGGAUGGUAGACUAGGAAGAAUCUCUUGUUGUAACGACAUGGCGCUGCGGUUAGUAGCACGCAACACAAAAUACUCUCUCACAGUUCUUCAGUUACAGAGGGGCGAGAGAGUGCGAGGACACCGGCAGCAACUACAGUUGUGCCUCUGCCGCUCGCGCCGUGCCUACCGCCGGUCGCCCGCUGCCGCCCCCCUGCGUUGCUUGGCCGCGCUUGUCGCGAGCUCCUAGCCGUGCCUACCAGCGCGUGCUGCGUCGCCACGCGCGCUCGGGCCGUGCCCGGUGCGUAGCUGCUGUUGCUACCCACUCGCUUCUGCUCUGCUGCUCAAGCUGCUGGUGCUCUGCUGUUUCUGCUGCCGCGGCGGCUCCCGCUGACUGCUUCUUGCUGCUACUACUAUGACCGGCCGACCCUUGUUUGAUUAUUUGGCCUAACCAAAUAGUAGCACUAAACCCUCCCAACACUAACAGGUUAUGACUAAUGGGCCCAUUUAGAUAAGCUAACUAGAUAAAAUCCCUGUUAAAAUAUAUCCUAUGACAUGUGGGCCCCUCUGACCCUGUUGACUGGUCAACAUUGACCCAGUCAACGCUGACUGUACCGCCGACUCAGCCACACAGGCCCCAUCUGCCAGCCUCAAACACAUAUGUCUGUGUACACUUUCUAUGUACAUAGCAAUCUGCAUUUAAUACUUUUUGAAUUAAAUAAAUCCAGUAAUUUCAGAAUAUUGCUAAAACCUUGUAAAAUCAUAUAAAAUAAACCGUAGCUCAGAUGAAUAUAAUAUAUAUAUGAAAGUUGCUCAGAACGACGAGACGAAUCCGGAUACGUAGCCCGUCCAUCCACCACACAUCCCUAGCAUAGCGAACACGCAACUUUCCUCCUCCGUUUCGUCUGUCCGAAUAUGCCAAACACCGGGAAUACUUUCCUGGAUGUUUUCCCCCUUCGCCGGUAUUACCUAUCCCUAUGUUAGGUCACCCCUAGCACAACGUAGUGCCGCGUCUUGCUUGUGUUACAUUUGAUUGCUAUGCUAUUUAUUGUGUUCCCCCUCUGUUAAUUCUUUCUGGUAGACUCCGAGACCGCUGCCGAUGUCCGUGUGUACGACUACAUCACCGACGACCCUUCUUCCUGUGCAAC